rnacentral:rRNA from 1 species
CGACGAUCAGUAGCUGGUCUGAGAGGACGACCAGCCACACUGGGACUGAGACACGGCCCAGACUCCUACGGGAGGCAGCAGUGGGGAAUUUUUCGCAAUGGGGGCAACCCUGACGAAGCAAUGCCGCGUGGAUGAAGAAGGCCUUCGGGUUGUAAAGUCCUUUCGUGGGGGACGAAAAGGUGGUUCCUAAUACGAGCUGCUGUUGACGUGAACCCAAGAAGAAGCACCGGCUAACUCCGUGCCAGCAGCCGCGGUAAUACGGGGGGUGCAAGCGUUAAUCGGAAUCACUGGGCGUAAAGGGUGCGUAGGCGGUACGUUAGGUCUGUCGUGAAAUCCCCGGGCUCAACCUGGGAAUGGCGGUAGAAACCGGCGAACUAGAGUAUGGGAGAGGGUGGUGGAAUUCCAGGUGUAGCGGUGAAAUGCGUAGAGAUCUGGAGGAACAUCAGUGGCGAAGGCGGCCACCUGGCCCAAUACUGACGCUGAGGCACGAAAGCGUGGGGAGCAAACAGGAUUAGAUACCC